rnacentral:rRNA from 1 species
UCCACGCCGUAAACGAUGGUUACUAGCUGUUUGGACUUCGGUCUGAGUGGCUAAGCGAAAGUGAUAAGUAACCCACCUGGGGAGUACGUUCGCAAGAAUGAAACUCAAAGGAAUUGACGGGGGCCCGCACAAGCGGUGGAGCAUGUGGUUUAAUUCGAUGAUACGCGAGGAACCUUACCAGGGCUUAAAUGUAAGUUGCAUUAGUUAGAGAUAGCUAUUUCUUCGGACCACUU